rnacentral:rRNA from 1 species
CUUACACAUGCAGUCGAGGGGCAGCGCGGGAGUAGCAAUACUUCUGGCGGCGACCGGCAGAAGGGUGCGUAACGCGUGAACAACAUGCCCGUAACAAGAGGAUAACCGGUGGAAACGUCGUCUAAUACUCUAUAUGAAUAUUUAUCGCAUGGUAAAUAUUUAAAAUUUUCGGAGGUUACGGAUUGGUUCGCGUCCCAUUAGGUAGACGGAGAGGUAACGGCUCACCGUGCCGACGAUGGGUAGGGGUUCUGAGAGGAAGGUCCCCCACAAUGGAACUGAGACACGGUCCAUACUCCUACGGGAGGCAGCAGUGCAGGAAUAUUGGUCAAUGGGCGGAAGCCUGAACCAGCCAUGCCUGCGUGCAGCGAAGGAGGCCCUAUGGGUCGUAAACUGCUUUUGCCGCAGAGCAAUAAGAGAUACGGGAUAUCUUGAUGAGAGUAUGCGGUGAAUAAGCAUCGGCUAACUCCGUGCCAGCAGCCGCGGUAAUACGGAGGAUGCGAGCGUUAUCCGGAUUUAUUGGGUUUAAAGGGUGCGUAGGCGGCGUCACAAGUCAGGGGUGAAAAGCUAGUGCUUAACACUGGUCUUGCCUUUGAUACUGUGGUGCUAGAGUGCUCCUGCCGCAGGAGGAAUGAGUGGUGUAGCGGUGAAAUGCAUAGAUAUCACUCAGAACACCGAUUGCGAAGGCAUCUUGCGAAGGGGCGACUGACGCUGAGGCACGAAAGCGUGGGGAUCGAACAGGAUUAGAUACCCUGGUAGUCCACGCUGUAAACGAUGAUGACUAACCGCCGGCGAUAGAUGGUUCGGUGGCCAAGCGAAAGCGAUAAGUCAUCCACCUGGGGAGUACGACCGCAAGGUUGAAACUCAAAGGAACUGACGGGGGCCCGCACAAGCGGAGGAACAUGUGGUUUAAUUCGAUGAUACGCGAGGAACCUUACCCGGGCUCGAACGGCUAGUGAACGGAGCAGAGAUGCCGAGGUCCUUCGGGACGCUAGUCGAGGUGCUGCAUGGUUGUCGUCAGCUCGUGCCGUGAGGUGUCGGCUUAAGUGCCAUAACGAGCGCAACCCCUCUCUCCAGUUGCCAUCGGGUCAUGCCGGGCACUCUGGAGACACUGCCACCGCAAGGUGCGAGGAAGGUGGGGAUGACGUCAAAUCAGCACGGCCCUUACGUCCGGGGCUACACACGUGUUACAAUGGUGGGCACAGAGAGUCAGAUGCGGGCAACCGCUUCUUAAUCCCGAAAUCCCAUCUCAGUUCGGACUGGGGUCUGCAACCCGACCCCACGAGGCUGGAUUCGCUAGUAAUCGCGCAUCAGCCAUGGCGCGGUGAAUACGUUCCCGGGCCUUGUACACACCGCCCGUUAAGCCAUGAAAGCCGGGGGCGCCUGAAGUCCGUGACC